GGGCAUCCAUACAUGGCCAUGA
rnacentral:siRNA from 1 species